UUCAUAAAAUAACACUACACUUUUCUGUACAUCAGAUACCAGCUAUGAAUGAGUGUUUUGUGGAGAUGGUAGCAGAAAGAGUCAUCGUAGAAUCUGUAAUCAGCGGAUGAUAGCAAAACGUGGUCUGAUUUCAAAUAGGCUAUAUGAAAAAGGAUCUAUAGCAAAGCCAUGGAAAAAAGGAUGGCGUUUUCUUCUCUUUCGAAUAGAAGCUGUUACUUAGAAAAGAUGAAAACUCAAGUGUACAUAUAUAUAGAUAUAUUUGACAAAAAAAAGUGUAUAUAAAUAUUCCAGAGUACAUAAAAAAUCACAAGCAUUAAAUA